UUAAAAAAUAAAACAAAGGACUGAAUAAGGAAAAAAGACAGUGACACUGGAAGUUUGUGAUCGGCAGCCAAGUGCUCACUCACAAAAUGGCUGCUCCACCUCAGGCAACCCUGGUCCCUCCCACAGUCUGUCAGUCAACUUCUUCUUUGCCUUCCAUUGGUGGAGACUGAUUUCUUGCAACUUGAUUGGAGGCCAGGUGUUGUCACACCACGCCCCCUCGUAACAACCGUUCCUCUACAGCCAAAGCUGUCUGAUGACAACUGCACAGAGCAGGAUUCUGGCACACAGAGCUGUUUUUCUCUCUCCUGGGUUAAUUCUGGCCAAACUCAGCACAGCAGCACAAUGUGUGGACUUUGCAACCAAUAUGUAGAUUCACUAGAGGUAUCAUCUCUACAAAUCGAAGGGGGCUUUCACUCUGUUCUGUUUUCACAUCUCCUCUAACAGUAAACAGG